GAGAGAAAAAAAGAAAGCCAGCAGGGCAGAGGAAGCUGCAGGCCUUCAGAAACACAGCCGCACUCUGGAAAGGAAAACAUACUGCCUUUCAUCUCCAGGCCUAUCUGCACCAGCCGCUCCCUCUGCCGCUGUCUUAUGGACCACUGCAGGACACAGGGCAGUAAACAAGAGCUUUGAAAGGGGAAGGAAGCCAGGAGAAAGCCAGCUCCAUUAGUCACGCAGCUGCAUAUCCUGUCACAAAGGACCCCAGAGCAGCCGAGGAGACCUUUGCAGGAACUAGCAUCCAGCUAUGCAGCUACUCCCUCCUCAGCCCAAAGACCAAGCUCGGGUCCCCUGCAGAUUGCUGUAGAAAAAAGCUCAGUUAUAUCAGAACCAGGACUUUCUUCAGCCCUUCCAUUUUUCUGAUCCUGUCUGAGGUAUCCACUCUGACCAAAGCCUGCUCUGAGAGGAGAGUAC
rnacentral:lncRNA from 1 species